CAGAGAGUUUGAUCAUGGCUCAGAACGAACGCUGGUGGCGUGUCUUAUACAUGCAAGUCGAGCGGCAUAGCAAUAUGUAGCGGCGAACGGGUGAGUAACGCGUAAGCAAUCUGCCCCAUAUCAGGAAAUACCCGUGCCAACGGCGCGGUUAAUGUCCAGGAGAGCGGGAACCCGCAUGGGUUCUUGGCUAGAGAUUCAUCGGUAUGGGAUGAGCUUGCGUCCGAUUAGCUAGUUGGCGGGGCAACGGCCCACCAAGGCGACGAUCGGUAGCCGGCCUGAGAGGGUGAUCGGCCACAUUGGGACUGAGAUACGGCCCAGACUCCUACGGGAGGCAGCAGUAGGGAAUAUUGCACAAUGGGGGAACCCUGAUGCAGCAACGCCAACCGUGUGGGAAGAAGCAUUUCGGUGUGUAAACCACUGUCGUGAGGGAAUAAGGCCUAUUCUAGGAUAGGAUUGAAUGUACCUCGAAAGGAAGCACCGGCAAACUUCGUGCCAGCCGCCGC
rnacentral:rRNA from 1 species